rnacentral:tRNA from 1 species
UCCCUGGUGGCCUAGUGGUUAGGAUUCUAGGCUUUUACUUCUGUGGUCCGGGUUCAAUCCCUGGCCAGGAAA